rnacentral:rRNA from 1 species
CCUACGGGUGGCAGCAGUGAGGAAUAUUGGUCAAUGGGCGGGAGCCUGAACCAGCCAAGUCGCGUGAGGGAUGAAGGCACAGCGUAUUGUAAACUUCUUUUGUCAGGGAACAAACGGGGUGACUAGUCGCCUGUUGCGGGUACCGCAAGAAAAAGCAUCGGCUAAUUCCGUGCCAGCAGCCGCGGUAAUACGGAGGAUCCGGGCGUUAUCCGGAUUUAUUGGGUUUAAAGGGUGCGCAGGCGGCCUGUUAAGCUAGUGGUAAAAUCCCGGGGCUCAACCCCGGCCAGCCGUUGAAACUGGGGGGGUGGAGUGGGCGAGAGGUACGCGGAAGGCGUGGUGUAGCGGUGAAAUGCUUAGAUAUCGCGAAGAACCCCGAGUGCGAAGGCAGCGUACCGGAGCCACACUGACGCUGAGGCACGAAAGCGUGGGUAUCGAACAGGAUUAGAUACCCGGGUAGUC